GGCUCAAUGGUCUAGUAGUAUGAUUCCUGCUUCGGGUUUCCCGGUUGCAUCAUGUAACCUAGCUUGCAGGAGGUCGCGGGUUCAAUUCCCGCUUGAGCCC
rnacentral:tRNA from 1 species